rnacentral:rRNA from 1 species
GAUGAACGCUGGCGGCGUGCCUAAUACAUGCCAGUCGAGCGAACGGACGAGAAGCUUGCUUCUCUGAUGUUAGCGGCGGACGGGUGAGUAACACGUGGAUAACCUACCUAUAAGACUGGGAUAACUUCGGGAAACCGGAGCUAAUACCGGAUAAUAUUUUGAACCGCAUGGUUCAAAAGUGAAAGACGGUCUUGCUGUCACUUAUAGAUGGAUCCGCGCUGCAUUAGCUAGUUGGUAAGGUAACGGCUUACCAAGGCAACGAUGCAUAGCCGACCUGAGAGGGGGAUCGGCCACACUGGAACUGAGAGACGGCACAGACCCCUACGGGAGGCAGCAGCAGGGAAGCUUCCGCAAUGGGCGAAAGCCUGACGGAGCAACGCCGCGUGAGUGAUGAAGGUCUUCGGAUCGUAAAACUCUGUUAUUAGGGAAGAACAGAUGUGUAAGUAACUGUGCACAUCUUGACGGUACCUAAACAGAAAGCCACGGCUAACUACGU